CCUACGGGAGGCAGCAGUGGGGAAUAUUGGACAAUGGGGGCAACCCUGAUCCAGCCAUGCCGCGGGUGUGAAGAAGGCCCUCGGGUUGUAAAGCACUUUCAGUGAGGAAGAACGCCUGGUGGUUAAUACCCAUCAGGAAAGACAUCACUCACAGAAGAAGCACCGGCUAACUCCGUGCCAGCAGCCGCGGUAAUACGGAGGGUGCGAGCGUUAAUCGGAAUUACUGGGCGUAAAGCGCGCGUAGGUGGCUUGAUAAGCCGGUUGUGAAAGCCCCGGGCUCAACCUGGGAACGGCAUCCGGAACUGUCAAGCUAGAGUGCAGGAGAGGAAGGUAGAAUUCCCGGUGUAGCGGUGAAAUGCGUAGAGAUCGGGAGGAAUACCAGUGGCGAAGGCGGCCUUCUGGACUGACACUGACACUGAGGUGCGAAAGCGUGGGUAGCAAACAGGAUUAGAUACCCGGGUAGUC
rnacentral:rRNA from 1 species